rnacentral:lncRNA from 10 species
AGACACAGAAGUUAAGCAACUUGUCCACGACUACCAUUUAGAAAGUGGGACAUCCUGGAUGCGGCUGCAAACCCUGUGAGUCCAGAUACUGCUGGCUGACUUGCGAGACUUUGCUGCCUCCUGAUGCUGUGGACUCGGUUAACCAAGGACACAUGUCAAGGUUCUGGUUUGGGCCUGGUCUUGCUUCGUGUUUUCAUUAAGUAGGUGAUUAUUUUGGUUUAAAUGAGGGCAGAAACUCAUUGCAUCUCUCCACACCCCCACUGAAACGAGAGUAAAGGGAUGUGUACUAGUGUGAACACACAAGGACAAGGAGAAUUGGAGAGGAGACAUGAGAGUACGGAAACGGCUGGGAGAGGGAUGACUAAUUUAUGGAGUGAGGGAUGCGACACAGAAAGUGUCUGCAAUGAGGGCCACCCACAAGACAAGAAGGAUGCCUGUUAUAUCAGCACUGCUGAAUCCUUGAGAGGUGCAGAACCUUGAGGCACAAAUACGGCACAAAAAAUGCAGCCCUUUCCCCAGUCUCCUCCUUACCACAAACACUCCAUCCCACCUCCCUUUCCCCCAGAAAAGCAAAGUUUUAUUCUCUGGAGAAGGUGAACGGAAGGAAAGGCUCCGGAUUCAGAGACAGCAGGCCCAUUGGAAGGCAGGGAAGGGGGCUGGUCUGAAAAUGGGAUUGUAUGGAAAUCUGCACAGGAGUGGGAAGCUGUCCAGCCCUUUCCUAUGCCUAACCUCAGAAAUUAUCAGCCAGGCAUGUGAGCUUACUCCACUUCCUGCGGAUAUUGGAUGAUUCCCUUCUGAAGACACUGACAGGUUGUGGAAAGAACCUCUACAAACCGAUAUUUGUGUGUGUUUUUGUGGAGUGGAAUUCCAAGAUAAAAUAGAUGGUGCCAUACCCAAUCACAUGCCAAAACAACAACAAAAGAGCCUACCAGUAGAUAAAUACCAACCCUGCUCCAGAGCUUCCAAUUAUCCUUGACAAUCAAAGAUGCCAACGUUUGGGGGAAAGGUCCAACAACAAAGCAGGGAGGGGAAAGAAUUCUAAAGGAAAGAGAUAACACAAGGAACAAAAGAAAACAGCAACAAAAACCAAACCCUUCGAUUAAUAUCCUCAGAGGAAUAUGAGAAAAGAAGAUGCUGUAUCAAUAAAGCAAGAUCAGGAUAUUAUGAAAAAGGAACAGCUGGAAAACAAGGAAGAGCUUGGAAAAUUAAAAUAAGUCCAAAAUAAGAAUUCAACAGAAAGGCUGGAAGACAAGUAGAGAAAAAUUUUCAGAAAAUAUAAUAAAAAGAGAAACAAAAUAUAAAGAAAGUAAUAAGAUCCUUGAAUAAUAAACCCAAAAGACCUAAUAUCUAACUAACAAGUGUUUUCUAAAAGGAGAACAAAAAACUGACGAAAGGAAAUAAUCAAAGAAAUAAUACAAAUACAAAAAUCACCAUAAUUCCAGGACAUGAAUAUUCAGAUUAAAGGCUCCCCCCUCCCCCACCCCAAGCACAUAGAUGAAGGAUGAAUGUGGAGAAAAGAGGAUCCUCGCCAAAGGACAUCAUCAUGGCAUUUCAGAACAUUGGUCAUAAAGAGAAGAAAAUAACAGGCCACCUACAAAGGCACAUGAAUCAGAAUCGUGUUGGACUCUUGACAGAAACUAUGAAUGCUGGAAGAGAAUGGAGUACGGCCAUCUAAAUUCUUUGGGAAAAUGAUUUCCGGCAGAGAAUUCUGCACUGUGCCAAACAAUCGAUCAAGUAUGGAGUAUUGAAUUUCCAGGCAUGCAAGGAGUAAAAUAAUUUAUCUCUCAUUGGAUCCUUUCUUAGGAAGCUGCUGAAGGAUGUACUCCCAGAAAAGGAACUUGGGGCAGCUCCUAUCCAGUUCAAACUGGUUGAGACCACUGAUCCUUCAGCUGAUCCUGUGCAAGUGCCUGAGAGGUGGCCUUUUGAUGUCAGAAAGCCAAAAACUCUACCCUUAGAACAUGCUAAUGCUACCAUUUUCUGAACAUGCAUCUUGUGAAGAGCCAUGAACCCUGACUAUGCUUGCACAGAUCACUAGUGACUUUAUUUUUCCCCAUUGCCAAUCACCUUUCCUCUUGCCUUAGACCACCCUGCUUCUCUAACCCAUAAAUAUCCCUAAGUCUUAUCUUCAGGCAGGCUUUGAGAGCUGUUCUCCCACCUCCUUAUUGGGCUGCCCUGUGAAUAAAUGUUUUAUCUGCCCUGUGAAUAAAUCUUUUGUAAGACCCAUCAUCACAGUAACUGGUUUACUAAGCACAAACAGAAUGAACUUGGUGGGUAUCAGAAGGGUGGCACAGGGAGAGAAUGGAAUUGAUAGAUUGUUACGCUUAGUACUAUUUGAUUUUUAACAACCAUUUACAUAUGCUUCUUUUGCUAAAAAUUAAGUAAUUGAAAGUAAUAGAAAACAAAAACAAAACAAAAUGAUACUGGAAACAAACAGACCAUUCUUCAGGCUCCUUUAGUGUUUGGAAUUUGCUUCUAUCCAUAGCAAAAGGAGGGCAGUACAAAUUGGCCACGGUUGAGAACCCACCUACAAUUCAUCUGAGCCCUGCUGCAACUACACUCUCAACUGUGUAAGGUGCCAGUGAUAGCCCCUCAGAACCAAUAGCACUAAUUCAAAGGGGGGUAGCUAAGUGACAAACAGGUGAAGGGACAGGUGCCCAGAGAAACAUUUGUAAAAAUUAACAUCUUCAGACUGGGAAGACGAAGACUAAGAAAAGUUCAGACUCUAACAACUCACGAAGCAUAUGGCUCACAGUAACACACAUGCGUUCACUGAAUCCUAGAAUAGUAGGGUGAGGGAGUGAGCCCUGAACGUGUUAUGUGUUUUACAAAGAGGAAAGUAACAUAAGAGGUUGUUAUAUAAGAUGAAAAUGUAAGUUAUGUACAUCUAUUUUUAAGAUACGAUAUGCUUCAGAGGUCCACAUCAAAGACAACCCCUGUGGUCUUGGAUAAUAUGGUCGAGUCAGUUAGAGACAGAAUUCCCAUGUCGUGACCUUGUCUUUGCAUUAGAAACAGGGGCUGGGUCUCCCCCAGUUGAAGUUAUUUAUUAGGAGUUAUAGAUCAAGACACUUCCUCCCACACUGUAUUUAAGAACUGAUCAUCAACAACGUCUCAAUUUCUCGGGGACUUUACUAUGUGCAAAGAGUUUUAUAAACAUAAUCUCUUUAAAUCCCUAUACAAACAUUUGAGGCAGGUAUCCUCACUUUAUCGAUGAGGGAAUUGGGCUACAGAU